GUCGCCGGCGCGGCGGGUUCACGCGGCUUCGAGCGCCGAGGCCCAGGCUCAGGCUCGGGCGUUCCGCGGGCCGGCGUGGCGCAGUGGGAGAACCAGCAGCAGAGAGCCGGUGCCCAGGAACAUUGAACAACUGGAGUAGCAAGUUAUAGAGGAGGGCGUGAGCGCAGCGACUGUUUUCUGAUGUGGACAGAAGUCAGGCAAAGAGGGAAGAGGCUCCUUAAAACUCAGAGAAUUUCUUUCCUCUCACGGGUUCCCGAACUUUCCAUAUUGCCUUGGUAUUUAUGAAGGAUUCGACUUCAGUGUAUUAAAGUG